rnacentral:rRNA from 1 species
UAGGGAAUUCUUCCACAAUGGGCGAAAGCCUGAUGGAGCAACGCCGCGUGUGUGAUGAAGGGUUUCGGCUCGUAACCCACUGUGGUAAGAGAGGAAUGACAUGGAGAGUAACUGUUCAAUGUGUGACGGUAUCUUACCAGAAAGGAACGGCUAAAUACGUG